rnacentral:rRNA from 1 species
AGUGAACGCUGGCGGUAGGCCUAACACAUGCAAGUCGAACGGCAGCACAGUAAGAGCUUGCUCUUACGGGUGGCGAGUGGCGGACGGGUGAGGAAUACAUCGGAAUCUACUUUUUCGUGGGGGAUAACGUAGGGAAACUUACGCUAAUACCGCAUACGACCUACGGGUGAAAGCAGGGGAUCUUCGGACCUUGCGCGAUUGAAUGAGCCGAUGUCGGAUUAGCUAGUUGGCGGGGUAAAGGCCCACCAAGGCGACGAUCCGUAGCUGGUCUGAGAGGAUGAUCAGCCACACUGGAACUGAGACGCGGUCCAGACUCCUACGGGAGGCAGCAGUGGGGAAUAUUGGACUAUGGGCGCAAGCCUGAUCCAGCCAUACCGCGUGGGUGAAGAAGGCCUUCGGGUUGUAAAGCCCUUUUGUUGGGAAAGAAAAGCAGCAGGUUAAUACCCCGCUGUUCUGACGGUACCCAAAGAAUAAGCACCGGCUAACUUCGUG